rnacentral:misc_RNA from 1 species
GCAUGUUUGUUUUUGCAUUAGCUAGCCUUUUGUAGCAUCAUUCCGUUUCACUCUUGAUUGCCCUUUUCACUUUCUCAUUCUACCAGCAAACCUCUUUUGAAGGUGGUUCAUUGCCUUUUGACUCACCAAGAACUUCUAUUUCCACCUUGAUCUUGAUUGCAAUAUUUGUUCACAUGGUGUUUGCCUUUGUGUUAGAGUUAGGGAACUAAAUAGCAACUGAUACAUUAUCUAUUGGAGAAAUAGGUGCUUGAUUUGAUAUUUGCCAUUUUGGGUCUUUGAUUAACAAAUGAUAAU